rnacentral:rRNA from 1 species
GAUGAACGCUGGCGGCGUGCCUAAUACAUGCAAGUCGAGCGAACAGACGAGGAGCUUGCUCCUCUGACGUUAGCGGCGGACGGGUGAGUAACACGUGGAUAACCUACCUAUAAGACUGGGAUAACUUCGGGAAACCGGAGCUAAUACCGGAUAACAUGUUGAACCGCAUGGUUCAACAGUGAAAGACGGUCUUGCUGUCACUUAUAGAUGGAUCCGCGCCGCAUUAGCUGGUUGGUAAGGUAACGGCUUACCAAGGCAACGAUGCGUAGCCGACCUGAGAGGGUGAUCGGCCACACUGGAACUGAGACACGGUCCAGACUCCUACGGGAGGCAGCAGUAGGGAAUCUUCCGCAAUGGGCGAAAUCCUGACGGAGCAACGCCGCGUGAGUGAAGAAGGUCUUCGGAUCGUAAAACUCUGUUAUUAGGGAAGAACAAAUGUGUAAGUAACUAUGCACGUCUUGACGGUACCUAAUCAGAAAGCCACGGCUAACUACGUG